rnacentral:lncRNA from 1 species
UCAUAGCGUGGAAUUUGGGGCCAGAUGCUCUUCCAUCUUCAAAAGGAUACCAGCAUUCUUUUAGGUCCAGUGAUAACCAGAAGGAGGUAGAACUAAGUUUUAUUUUUAUUUUUAUUUUUUAAAAUUUUUAUUUAUUUAUGAUAGUCACACACACACACACAGAGAGGCAGAGAGAGAAGCAGGCUCUAUGCACCGGGAGCCCGAUGUGGGAUUCGAUCCCGGGUCUCCAGAAUCGUGCCGUGGGCCAAAGGCAGGCGCUAAACCGUUGCGCCACCCAGGGGUCCCCCCUAGAACUAAGUUUUAAAAUACAGGCCAAAAAGUAAAUAAAUAAAUACAAGUUAAAAUAGACAACUCAGUUGUCACAGGACAAGAUAUGCUAUUUGUAUUUUUUAGGUAUGGCUGCAGGUGCUAAAUGAAUUAAAAGUAGGGAGAAGUACACACAGAAUAUUGCCUAAUUUGUCAGUUAUACCUCUGCUGGGAAGCGUGGAAGGAGAUUCAGUAGAGUUUCUUGAAUACCAGGGAUACAGGCAUCCAUUAUGUCCCUGAUUCGGUAAAGCCAAGCAUGGUUUUCCGUUUGGGUAGGAAUAUGGUGUUUUCUUAGAACAUUUUUUAGUAACAAAGCAUAUAAUUAGCCAAGUAUGAGUUUGGUAGCUAAACUCCAUGUAUCUAGUUUUAAUCAGCUCUAGAGAAUAUUACACUCUAGUCAACCCCUAAUUAUCUGAUAUCCAACUCCUGUCACAAACCCAGCUGAGACACACAGGGAGGUGAGCCUGGGCGAACUGAGAAUCCUCUACUCCCAGGGAAUGAGUCCAGAUUCGAUCGCUACAGCUAAGGACUUCUAGAAAACUACUGUGAAUAUCUUCAUUUAACUCCCCAUAGAAAUGCCUUCAUAGAAACAUGAUUUAGUAUCUUCCUCCUGACUUUUCUGAGGACUGAUAAAAAUAAAAAAAAACAGAAAUGGUUCUGCUUUUUAUAAAAGUCCUAGUGAAAGUAUUACAUAGUGUUAGUAGCAUCUAGUGCUUUUUAUCUAACUAUUCUUAAAUUUGGUGAUAGGAAAAAAGUUUUUCUCUUCUGAUGUACAUUAAUAUUAGAUAAUAGAGCUAAAGCAGUUUGUUUCCCUUUUGCCUUGGUGGCUGGAAAACCCAAAACAAAACUUUGUGCUUAAUUAGAUUAAUUAAUUUCAGCCAAGGUUUUUCUGUAUAUCACCUUUUCAGUAGUUGGCUCAUGUUUUGUUGCAUAUUUUAGAUACAAUUUGCAUGCAGUACAAUGCACAUGUCCAGUGAGUUUUAACAAUUUUAUAUGUCUGUUAACCAUGAUCAGAACAUUUUCAUCACCCCAGAAGGUUUGCUUUCUGUGCCUUUUCACUCAAUAUUCACUCCUUUUUUUUUUUUUAAUUUUUUAAUUUAUUUAUGAUAGUCACACACAGAGAGAGAGAGAGGCAGAGACACAGGCAUAGGGAGAAACAGGCUCCAUGCACCAGGAGCCCAACGUGGGAUUCGAUCCGGGGUCUCCAGGAUCAUGCCUUGGACCAAAGGCAGGUGCUAAACCGCUGCACCACCCAGGGAUCCCUCAAUAUUCACUCCUGUUGCAACUACUUUCUGGUUUCUAUGAUCAUAGGUCAGUUUUUGGCUGUUCUUGAACUUUACUUGAAUCAUAGAGUAUAUAACAUCUUUAGUCUGACUUUUUCCACUCAACAUUUUUGACGUUCUGUGCUAUUGCUUGAAUCAGUAGUUCUUUUUAAUUACUGAGUAUUUCACUUUUAUUUUUUAUUUUAUUUAUUCAUGACAGACAGAGAGGCAGAGACACAGACAGAGGGAGAAGCAGGCUCCAUGCAGGGAUCCUGACAUGGGACUCAAUCCAGGGUCUCCAGGAUCACACCCCAGGCUGAAGGUGGCACUAAACCGCUGGGCCACUGGGGCUGCCUAGUAUUUCACUUUUUUUAAAAAAUAAUUUUAUUUAUUUAUUUAUUUAUUUAUUUAUUUAUUUAUUUAUUUAUUUAUGAUAGUCACAGAGAGAGAGAGAGAGAGAGGCAGAGACAUAGGCAGAGGGAGAAGCAGGCUCCAUGCACCGGAAGCCCGACGGACUCGAUCCCAGGUCUCCAGGAUCAUGCCCUGGGCCAAAGGCAGGCGCUAAACCACUGCACCACCCAGGGAUCCCCUAGCAUUUCACUUUUAAACAUACAUCAAUUUGGUUAUUAUUUCUCCUGCAUGUGGAUAUUUCAGUUAUUUCCAAUAUUUGCCUGUUAAGAAUAAAGUUGCUUUGAACAUUUAUGUGCAACUCUUGGUGGACAGCUCAUGUUGGAAAGGAUGUUUAAUGAUAUUACUGUGAAAGCAUCUUCAUUGUAAACUUCAUCUUUAUGAGAGGAGAAGUGGGUAAAGGAUAAGUAAUAUGAAAACAUAGCAGUCCCCUAUGAUUAGAUUUAUAGCCAUUAACUUAAAACACUAAAAACAACUUACAAAUAGUCUCCCUUUUUUUUUUUUUUAGAAUUGAAGGCCAAGCCAAAUAUAUUACUCCUUCAAAUAAACUUCUGCAAUUUGGAUAACUUCUCAUUUAAAUCCCUUCUAAAGUAUAGGUUGCUAUCUUUUUAAAUCCCCAUUUUCCUUGGCUAGUAGUCAUACCAGACACCACAUUCAAAGCCAAACCUAAUUUUCUUCCCUAAAGCUAGCUAUCCCUUGGCUUCAUCUCAACUUUCAGUUGCUGAGACUAAAAAUGUGGAUUCAUCCUUGAUUCUUCCCUUUUUCAUAAACAUCCCAUGGAAUCCAUCAGCAAAUCUGGUGCACUCUGCCUUCAAAAUGCAGAUUAUUAGGGAUUCAGCUACUUUUUACUCCUCCUAAUGCUAGUAACACUAGUAAAAGCUACUAUCAUCUCUUGUUUGGAUUGGUGCCAAAACCUCCUAAGUGGUCUUCCUACUCCCAUCUUUGGCACCUAGAGUUUAUUCUAAAUAGCUGGAGUGUGAUCCUUUCUCAGUCUCAGUCCCAUCAGGUCACCCUGCUCAAAAUCCAACAUUCCUAUUUGGAAUAAAAACCAAAGUUCUUAAAAUGAUCAGUAAGGCCGUGAGUCAUACAGCCUCUCGGAAUCUUUUCCUCACAUCUUCUCUGACCAUCUGGCCCUUCUCUGCUCCUCUCCAGUCACACAGCUGCCUCACUUUGCUUUGUACUGACCAAGAACAAUCCUGUCUUAGGCAUUGCACUUGUAUCUCAGUCAGUAAUCCGGCUCUCUGUAGCCCCCACAUAUAUCUCAAGGCACACUGCCUUACUCUAUUCUUGUCUGUGCUCACCGUCACUUUAUUCUAUAGGUCUUCCCUUUGUAAUAUGGGUCCCACUUUCACCCCCAAAGCUAUCUGUAUUGUAUUCUUAGGCCCACCCAAGCCAGACCUUGCAGACUUUUCAAGUUUGAGGAUGGGCUGAAAUGAUUAGAACUUGGCUCAAAGUUCCUGAAACAGCUACUCCUCAAUGCAAAGAAUAACAAAGUGAUUGGGGACACUUUCUCAUAGACUCCCUUGUUUUCUCAUGGAGGCCUCUCUGGGGUUUGGUCUCCACAGUCCCCACGUGAAGUGAGAUGUCCACUAGGGUAGAGAAGCAUAAAACUGUGGUCUCUGUCUCAUCCCUUCACUCCCUUGUAGCCAUUCAACAACCAGAAACCACCUGUGAUCUCUUAUUCUGCCUCAUAGUAACCCUGAACAACAAGGCCUUGGAGCCCAGGGUCCUUGCGGCUUUGACAAUCUUCCAUGAUCUAUGCCUGCACUCCAGUAGGGUCUAAGACUUGCAAUCUGCCCACUUCUGCACCCUCCUGGCCAUAACCUACCACAAUGCCUUAUUUUCUUCAUGGUGCUUAUCAUCAUCUGACCUAUUACAUAUUUAAUUUUUGUAUUUGUUUUUGUCUUUCCAAGUAAAACAUUAAGUUCCCUGAGAGCACAGACUUUUUGUUAAUAGAAUAGCACCUGACACAUACUACUUAGUAGAUAUUUACUGAGUUAAUUUUGUUCAAUGUAUUUAACAUGGCUUUAGGUAGUCUCCUAAAAAAUUGGCAUCAUUGUAUAGAUUUCAGUGGCUGCUAAUGUCAAACCAAACCAAACCUUCCCUUUUUGCUUUUUCCUUUUAGUUUCAGAAUCUUAUUUAGGGGUUGGAAUUGCCACGGAAUGCAAGUUGCAUGCACCUCAGGUUUGGUACUAGUUUUUUUUCCCCAUAUUAAAGGGACCUGGGAGUUGUGUCUUCAGUGACUGGAGUAGAAAGAAAAAUCUAUUAUUUUAGUAUCUGAGGUCCAAAUUCCCUCUACUAUAGGGAUCCCUUGAAUGUGCUAAUGCUGAAUCCCUGGAGAAUAAAAGAUGGCAAAGACUGGAUUGAAAUUCAGAUUGAUUCACAAGUAAAGACAUCUUGGAAAUAACAUUCUGAGUAAGGUCCUGCUUGUUGAAAAUCUGCAUGUUUUGGGGUCUGGAUCAUGUGAAUGGUACAGAGACUUGAAAUAGAAAUAAUUUUAUCAAGUGUUUAGAAUAUCAGAUACCUCAAAUAUGUAAUCCUAAUUGUGAUCUAUUCUUUCAAAAAGUCAACAUUGUUUCCAUAGUAAAUAUUUUCUAUUGGAUGAUCCAGAAAAUCCAACUCCCUGGUGGUCAAUAAGAAAUAUUCAACAAGUGACCAUAUGUGCAGGUAACAGCAUUAAGCUCUACCCUAAAGGAGUUUGUGAUUUCUGUCUGCCCAAGUGUAUUGGUUGAAAGGAGAAUAAUAAAUAAGCUUGACUCUUUUGUCUCAGUGCUUACUGUAGAAGAAAGGAUGUUGACUAAUAAAACUUUUAUAAGAUCAUCUCUUUUUGUAAUAUGGAAACAACUAAAAUUUGUUUUGCAAAUUUUGAGAGAAUAUUUGAUACUAACAUAAUAUCAAACUGAGUAUCAGUAUGUCAGCUUGGUUUAUAGUGGAGAGUGAGACUUGUGCCUGGGAGGGUUGUGAAUCUUGCAUCAUCCUCCACAAACACUCAAAGACCAUGGUCAGGAAGAUGGCUACUAUGGCUAUUCCAAGAACAAAGGCAUUCCACACCAAAUUGUGGACAGAAAUAGUAACUAUGGGAAACAUAAUAAUCAGCUUUUAAAGAAGACAUAUAUACAUAGAAACAAUCUGCAAAGUCAAAAAUUCAGGUGGUUCCUGUGCAUGACUAAAUUAAAGAAGUUUGGUUUAGGGCUAGGCUUAGGAGCUCCGUAGUUGGUAAACAUGUGGAGGAGUUGGGACAGUGGCUUCCCUGGAGAGGGCAUGGAAACUCUGCACCCUUUCCCCAGACCUGGCUCUACACAUCUCUUCAUCUGGCUGUUGAUUCAUCUUUGUAUUAGGUAACUCCUAGCUUGGCAUCUCUGUGGACAUUCUGUGAGAAAGCCAGCUUUAUCAUCAGCAGUUGCUUCUCUCUAAAGGUAGAGGGGAAGAUGGUGGAAGAGUAGGGGACCCUGGGACCCUGGUUUGUCUGGUCCCUGGAAUUUUUUUUUUUUUUUUUUUUUUUUUAGAUUUUAUUUAUUCAUGAGAGAGAGAGAGAGAGGCAGAGACACAGGCAUAGGGAGAAGCAGGCUUCAUGCAGGGAGCCCAAUGUGGGACUCGAUCCCAGGACUCCAGGAUCAUGCCCCGGGCUGAAGGCAGGUGCUAAACCGCUGAGCCACCCAGGGAUCCCCUGGUCCCUGGAAUUCAAAUCUUCAUAGCCUGUACUAGCUGGGCUUGAGAAAAGCAGAGAAGACACAAGAGAACCCCUUUCUGGAGAAAUAAAAGAACUAAAAUCUAAUCAGAUCAAAAUAAGGCUAUUAAUAAAAAAGGCUAUUAAUGAGAUGCAAUUAAAAAAUGGAGACAUAUUGCUAGGAUAAAUGAGGCAGAAGAGAGAAUUGGUGAUAUAGAGGAUAAAAUUAC